GCAAAACAUUUCAUCACGUUACAAACCAUCAAUUCAAUUCAAACAUAACACCACUUCGAAUACAGUAUAUCACAUUAACCAACACAACAACAUAACUAAGGAAAACAUUUUUUUGGCAGAGAAAUUAAAGAGUAGAAAGAGGAUCACUUGAGUAACGCACAACAAGACUGCACCUCCAAUGGAAAGAAAUUUUAACCUGCAACACGCAAAUAAAAAUAAAAAUUAAUAAAUAAAUAAAUAAAAAGUAAAAAAUAAUUAAAAAUAAGUAAGGCGAUCGAUAUGAGUUGAGCUUCAUUAAAACCUUACCCAGGAACACACACUCCAGAAAACCAAUGCUCAACAUGUAAACCAACAAUAUAAUAAAAAUGUUAUUAUUGAAUAUGAAUAUAAAAACAUAUAAUGAGUUUGAGAAUGCAUAUAUGUAUUUAAAGAUAAAGAGGAAUAAGUGAAGGUGAAGUAAAUUUGUAAAGAUAAAGAGGAAUAAGUAAAGAUGGGGAAUAAGUAUGAGUGAAGUAAAUUAGUAAACAUAGGAAUAAAUAAAGAUAAAGAGGAAUAAGUGUGAGUGAAGUAAAUUAGCAAAGAUACAUAGGAAUAAACAUAAGGAGCUUGUGAUACUAACUAUAUAUAGAGGUGGUGGGUGCGACUAUGCUUCACCAAUAGUUAGUGAAUACAUAAUUUCUAAGGGUAAAUUAAAUACUUUUUUGUUUCAUUUUCUACUUAAUGGUCCAACAUAUGUGCAUUUUUAUGUCCGUGUCUUAACGUAAAUCUCUUUGUCAGGGUCAAUCCUGUUAUUUCGAGGACAUUAGAUGAAAACGAAAAAAUUGGUUCCUUAAAAAAUUAAACUUUAAUAUUUUUAUUGUUAGCUAUAAAUAGCAUAUAUCAUACAUCUUCCAUGCUUGUGUAACGAUAUAACUUUUAUCUAUAAAGUGCAAUAACCAAAAAACAAUGAUCAAAUAUUUAUUAAAAUAAUUUAUAAGAAACUAACAUUUCAAAAUAUAAAAUCAUCAAUAACAACUUCAAGAUCAAGUGUUCCAAAUUUCCAUUCCUUAUUUUCAACGCAUAAAAUGAUUUUGUUAAGCUAUAGUAAUUGGUAUAGUUAGCAUCCUAUAUAUUAUAGAAAUAAGAGAAACAAUGCGAAGUUUUAACAAAUUCAAUAACUUCGCCAAUCGACUUUAUUAUGAUGGCAACACAUUUCUAUCAGCUUGCAAUUCAAAAAAUAAAUCUUCGGGAUUAAUGUCAUGAAUUUAAGAUUAAUAAAUAUUAAGUUAUAAUUAAUGAGGAAGAAGCCCCGUUUCAGAGAAGAGAGAAGAACGAGGUAUGCGAAGCUACUUAGUUUUGUCAAAUAAUUUUAUUUUUUCUAAUGAAUUUAAAAUUAAUAAUAUUAGAUUAUAAUCAAUGAAAAUAUUUUUUUAUUAAUUAUAUUUUAAUAUAAUUUUUAAGAUAAUUAAUUAGAUUUCACCCAUUCAAUUAGGAUUUAUAAUUAUUUAUUAUAUUUAUAUGAAUUAAAAAAUUAAUUAUUAUGAUUAAUUAAUCAAAAAUUAGGACGGUAUAAUUUAAUUUUUAAUUUUGAUUUUUAGUAAUAAAGUAUUAAUUAAAGUUCAUUAUAUAAUACUAAUGAAAUUAAGAACACGACCACAAUAAGUUGUGGGACAGAGAAUCUCAUUCAAAUUCUCGUAAUUUCAUUUCUAAGAAAUACCCGCAACCGCUACUCGUAAGUACAACUUGCAAUGAACCAACAACAUCUCUUGGUUGCUGGGAGGAUGCCUAUCAUGCCGAUUUCCAAACAACAGUGCAGAGAGCAUAAGUUGAUGAGAUACCUUACCCGAUUGGAGACUACUAAUAGAUGAAAAUUGAAGGGACAUGGCUGACUUUGUGGAAAUCCUCUCCUGAUGCCGAUACCCUCUUCCCCAAUUCCAGCAUUCCAAAAAUCAUCAGUUCCCGAAGAGUAGAAAUGCCACUCAAUCCAUCUGGAACCAUCUCAAGACUAGAACUAUAAUAGAUGUGUAAUGUAGAGAGAAGGGGCAUGGAUCCUGCCUCCACUCUCCACUCCCUCAACUUUGGUAACUGACAUAAAAAGAUCUUGAGACGAGGAAACUAUUUGAUGGACACGUCAUCUCCUCCCCAACAAAUGAUUCCGCAAUAAAAACAAAGCAGUCAAACAAGGAAGCUUUCCCAAUAUCCCCAUUGGAUCAUCCUCAAUCUCACAUGCUAAUAAGAACAACUUCGUAAGUUUAGAGCUCAUGAAAUCACGCCCGCACUCAGCCAGCGCCUUCCCUAUCUUAACACUAAUCCACAAGGAAUGAAGAUUGGGACAUGUGAAUGCCUUGUUCAACACUCCCUCAUUUGUAACUAACUCGCAACCCUCUUCGAUAUAAACCACACAAAACACCAACUUGUUCCAAUCGGUAGCAAUGCAUUCAUGAUAGCUAACAAGCUUUCAUUGUCGUGUAUGCUUGCAUCAAAGCGUCGGAGAUUCUUCAUUCUACCUAUACAUUUUAACUCAUGCACUCUACUAUCCAACCCGAUCAGACUCUCCAACACAUCCACCCCCUCGUCCAAUGUUAAUCGAUAACUUCCAAUAUUUUCCUCAUCAUAAUUGGGAAGAGCCAAGUGUUUUAAACAUAACAUCUCCUUGAAAACAUUUGGAACUUCAACAUUAUACGAACUAGUUAAAUCAAGGGUAUCCAUGUAUACCAAAUUCCUUAUGGACAACGGUAGCUUAUCAAAUUCACAUUUUUCUAAACGCAAACGUCUAAGGUGAACAAGAUUAGUGAUUCCUUUCGGUAACUUUCUUCCUUGAAAUUUGAAUCCAACCAUAACUAGAUCCCUCAGCAAUUUGAAUUUCUGAAAAUCAACGAUACUUUGUAGGGAAAACUCAACAGCAUUUCUGUGAUUGACCAUUUGAAGAGACCUUAAAUAUUUGCUACUAUCUUCUCCAAGCUUGUCAGGUUCCAGUCCGACUUCUCUUCUGAAAUGGAUAGCCAAAUGUAGUACUUUCAUAUGCGAGGAAGCUUGCUGUAGUAAGGUACUAAGUUUUCCAGUUUGACACUCCAAACUUAGCACACCAAAAUCCUCUCUUUUCCCCAAUUUCAAACAUAGUUGUCUUACUACAUCAUGAAGUUUGCAGCUCCUAUACUUUUCCCCAGGUGUGACACCAUCAUCAAUUUCAACUUGGACGAUGGACCUAGAGGCCAACUCACCCAAGUAGAUUUCCGCGAUUUCCAUUAAAGUUUCCUCAUUGUCUCGAAUAUUCUCAUGUGAAACCAUACCUUGUGCUAUCCAUCUAGUAUAUAGAUCCUCAACAUCUAUAUCUUCAUCCUCUUAAAAUAAACCCAUAUAGAGAAAGCAAGGCUUCAAAUAAUAGGGUAGACUUUCAUAGCUUAAAUUUAGCACUCCAUCAAUCUCAUUUUCAUCUCUGUAUAUGUAAUUUUUGAUAUCCCUAUUUACCAACUCCCACUCCUUGAUCGAAUUUUUCAUUCUCAAGACCCCACCGAGUAAAGAAUUGCCAACGGCAAAUACCCACAUUUCUUCACCAUUUCUUCCCAAUUUCUCAAAUUCUCUUCCAUACAAACUCUGCAUUCAAUUGAAAUAAUGAAAAUGAAUAAUUUUUACACUGCCACAACAUGCAUGCACAUCAUUUACCAACAAUGGAAAGCAUAUAUAAUUAAUUUGUAAAAUAGCCAAAAGCCAACUAGAACAUAUUAUGAACUGAUCACCUGGAAUGUUUGUUUGGGGAAAUGCUUUCUUCUUGAGUAGUUCCAAAGCAUGUUCCACCUUUAGAAGCCCAAGUUCUAUUGGGAAUCCAAUCUCUGCAACCUUUCGUUCACGCGUGGUGAUUAAGAUCUUGCUCUGCAAAUCCUGGACAAGAAAGGUAUGCUUGAGACCAUCCCAAUGUGAAGUCUCCCAAAGAUCGUCCACAACAAUCAGGCAUCGCUUCUCUCUUUGUAUCUCACACAGUUGCCCGAUCAACGCCGUGUCACUCACAUUAUUCUCAUUAACCUUUUCUAGUCUUAGCUGGCUGAGAAUAUCCUCCAAAACUGAUUUUACCUGACAUUGCUGAGAUAUACAAACCCACGCGAAAGACUCAAAGCAACUGCUUUUGGUGUGUUUGAUGUGGUUGUAUACCUUUCUAGCAAUGGUGGUCUUGCCUGAACCUCCCAUGCCCCAUACUGAAAUAACUCGAUGCUCUUUGUCCUCGACUAGCAGAUAUUCAAGCUGCUUCAGCUCAUCCUCCAUCCGCACAAAACACUCUCCAAUCUCGAAUUCGGGAAAGGUUUUCCUCGACCAAUUUUUGUUUUCGCCGGCAGCUGAGCUUUCCCCUCCAUUUGUAGUGUUGAUGAUGCUCUUCUUUAUGCCAUUUUCUUGCAUUUCCUUGUUUAUCCUUUCAAGACGGGAUUUGAUCGGUGAAAUCUCGGAGCCUAGUUGGUGGAUCGACUUGUAUUCUUCCAAACUACAACUACAUCUGCGGACGAGCUGUCUGAGGCCUCGUCUUCUCCUUGAACACACUUGAUAAGCUGCGUGUCUUUCAAUGGCAGCUUCGGCUCUGUACACAAGAUCUCUGAUCUCCGAGAUCAAAUUGAAAAUGGUUUUGCUUUCAUGUCGUCUUCUGUCAGCAUCUUCAGGAGACACUUCAUCUGUUUCAGCUGGAUCUCGAGCUCCCUCACUUCAUCGCCCACACCAUAUAGAAACCUUGCUUCUUCCAACACAAAUCGCGCAAGGUUUCUAGAGCCAUUGACACCACUGCUUCUGCCAUUGCAACAAUUCGAGGUGAGACUCAGAUAUCUUUGGUCUAAUUGAUUGGUGGAACACUCUUGAUUUGCUAGUGAUGAGAGGGAAGUAAAUUAGUGAAGAUGAAGAGGAAUAUAAGUAUAAAGGAACUUGUGGUCGUAAUUUUAGAGCUGGUGAGUACAACUACCCUUCACCAAUAGUCAACACAUAUUAAAUAAUUUGGUCUUACACCAAGUGGAGAAUAAAUUUAGAAGAUAUUUAAAAGGGAGAAAUGAACAUCAAAAUUUAUUGUUGCAAUUCUUAAAUGAUUUGUUGGAUGAGUUUUUUUAUUUUUUUAAUUAAUAUUGAAUGUGAAUGAAAUUGCAAAUAAAGAAUAUGUGUACCAAAAUAUAAACAGAGAUCAAAAUGACAACCUCUCCACUAUGCACAUUUUUAUGUCGUGGCCUAACGUAAACCUCUUUGUUAAGGUCGGUCCAAAUAUUUCGAGGGACUUGAGAAAAAAUGAAAAAAAUUGGCUUCUUAAGAAAUGAAAUUGAUAUUUUUAUUAUCAGCUAUAAAUGGUUCAUAAUCGUUUUCCAUAUUUGUGUGACUAUAUAACUUUAAUUUAUAAAGUACAAUAACCAAACAACAAUAAUUAAAUAUUUAUAGAAAUAAUGUAGAUCUUCUAAACAUUUUGAGAAAUAAAAUCAUUAAUUACACCUCCAAGAUCAAGAAUUUUAUUUAACUCAUUUCUAAUACAUAAAAAUAUUUUGUUGAAGCUACAAUAUUUAACAAUAUCUAUAGAAAAUAAAUAUGAGAAAAAAAUACAAAGUUUUAACAAACUCAAGAACUUCACCAAUCAACUUUAAUUGACAAGUCAUGAAGAUUGGAGCUCAUCAUGAAGUCACGCCCACACCACUCUGCCAGCGCCUUCCCUAUCUUAACUCUAAUUGACAAGUCAUGAAGAUUGGGACAUGUGAAUGCCUUGUUCAACACUCCCUCAUUUGUUUCUAACUCACAAUCCCCCGUGAUUUCAACUGAACAAUACACUAACUUGUUCAUGUUAGCAAUGGCGUCGAUUAUGGAUGACAAGCAUUUGUUGUCCAUGCUAGCUGUCGUUCAAGCAGCCGUGGCGGCUGAUGUUGCGCGUAUGAGGAGUGGUCUUCUUUGCAGCCAAUGCAAAGCAUGUGACACAGAUAAGUGCCUUCCUAGUGAUGCAUACCCUCACAUCACAUGGCUGCUUUUGAUGAUUCCCUAAUUGCUAGCGCAUUCCGUUGCCUAAUCUUGUAUAGCAGGAUAUUUUUUGGAAAACGUUAAAAAAUGGAGUUGUACAUGUUUAAUAAAAAACGAAAGUUGAAGACAUUUUUCUUAAAAACACUGAAAGUUGGGACACAAAGCAUAAUUAAUCCUUAUACAUAUAUGUGUGGAUGUAAAUAUUAGGAAGGCUUGUGUUCUUGGAAAUGAGUGAAAAUGUUCUUGCAAAAGCAAGUUGUAAGUUCAUUUCACUCAAUAAUAAAAUGAUUACAUAAAUAAUUAAAGCAAAACAUUUCAUCAGAGCAGAAUAACGUAGAAUAGCAACAACUUGAUUAGCUAGGCUUUACAAACCAUCAAUUCAAUUCAAACAUAACACCACUUUGAAUACAGUAUAUCUCUUAUUAACCAACACAACUUUAAAUUACCUGGAUUCUAAACAUUUCCUCACACACAAUUACAUAACUAAGAAAAACAUUUUUUUGCAGAGAAAAGAGUACAAAGAGGAAGACUUGAGAAAUGCAGCAACGACACUGC
rnacentral:lncRNA from 1 species